GCAACGUAGCCGGAAGCUGGUGGCGGCUGGUGGGCGACCGGGCGCAUCCUCAUUGCAGUGCGGCGGCCCUACCCCGGCCCUGGCCUGACCCCGGCGGCCCUGCCCGCCCCUCCCUCCAGCAUCAUGGCCAGCCCAAGAACCAGGAAGGUUCUUAAAGAAGUCAGGGUGCAGGAUGAGAACAACGUUUGUUUUGAGUGUGGCGCAUUCAAUCCUCAGUGGGUCAGUGUGACCUACGGCAUCUGGAUCUGCCUGGAGUGCUCGGGGAGACACCGCGGGCUUGGGGUGCACCUCAGCUUUGUGCGCUCUGUUACUAUGGACAAGUGGAAGGACAUUGAGCUUGAGAAGAUGAAAGCUGGUGGGAAUGCUAAGUUCCGAGAGUUCCUGGAGUCUCAGGAGGAUUACGAUCCUUGCUGGUCCUUGCAGGAGAAGUACAACAGCAGAGCCGCGGCCCUCUUUAGGGAUAAGGUAGAGAUGGGCCCGAUUCACUCUUGCCCAUGGUGUGGGGCUGCUCUGCCGUUUGUGGCAGCUGGACUGUGGCCUUUAGUGGUUCUGGAGU
rnacentral:sRNA from 1 species